UACGAAGGGGGGCUAGCGUUGUUCGGAUUUACUGGGCGUAAAGCGCACGUAGGCGGAAUGUUAAGUCAGAGGUGAAAUCCUGGAGCUCAACUCCAGAACUGCCUUUGAUACUGGCAAUCUAGAGUCCGGAAGAGGUGAGUGGAACUCCUAGUGUAGAGGUGGAAUUCGUAGAUAUUAGGAAGAACACCAGUGGCGAAGGCGGCUCACUGGUCCGGUACUGACGCUGAGGUGCGAAAAGCGUGGGGAGCAAACAGG
rnacentral:rRNA from 1 species